rnacentral:rRNA from 1 species
CAGCCGCCACGGUAAUACGAAGGGUGCAAGCGUUACUCGGAAUUACUGGGCGUAAAGCGUGCGUAGGUGGUGGUUUAAGUCCGUAGUGAAAGCCCUGGGCUCAACCUGGGAAUUGCAGUGGAUACUGGGUCACUAGAGUGUGGUAGAGGAUAGUGGAAUUUCCGGUGUAGCAGUGAAAUGCGUAGAGAUCGGAAGGAACAUCUGUGGCGAAGGCGACUAUCUGGGCCAACACUGACACUGAGGCACGAAAGCGUGGGGAGCAAACAGGAUUAGAUACCCCUGUAGUCCCUGUCUCUUAUAC